CCUACGGGAGGCAGCAGUGGGGAAUAUUGCGCAAUGGGCGAAAGCCUGACGCAGCGACGCCGCGUGAGGGAUGAAGGUCUUCGGAUCGUAAACCUCUGUCAGCAGGGAAGAACGGUCACUGUGCUAAUCAGCAGUGAAUUGACGGUACCUGCAAAGGAAGCACCGGCUAACUCCGUGCCCGCAGCGGCGGUAAUAAGGAGGGUGCGAGCGUUAAUCGGAAUUACUGGGCGUAAAGCGCACGUAGGCGGUAUGUCAAGUCAAGGGUGAAAUCCCCGCGCUCAACGUGGGGACUGCCUUUGAAACUGGCAAACUGGAGUGGGUGAGAAGAUAGUGGAAUUCCAGGUGUAGGGGUGAAAUCCGUAGAUAUCUGGAGGAACAUCAGUGGCGAAGGCGACUAUCUGGCACAUAACUGACGCUGAGGAGCGAAAGCGUGGGUAGCAAACAGGAUUAGAUACCCGUGUAGUC
rnacentral:rRNA from 1 species